rnacentral:lncRNA from 1 species
CAAAAAUAAUAAAUAAAAUGAAAAUGCAAUUGAUCAAUGGCAAAGGAGCACAAAGAAAAACGGAGGUUGAUUUAUAAGAGAUGGAUAUGUUGUUGGGGUUAGAUUUCACCAAGUUUCCUCUCAUGUAUAUAACAAUUCUUCUUUAUGCAUUAAUGCCAACAUCCCACACUAAAUCACUUAAACCCGAUCCCUUGGUAAAUAAAUCUGUCCGUAAUUACCAGUUCAUACAAUUCCUAGCAUUCUUGGUA